UUGGUGAAGAUUCUACUUAUCUGUUGAGAUUUAGGUGAGAUAUUGUGUAUAAUGUAUUUCAACUGUUGCAUUAUUCCACAGGAGAAGUGACUCUAGCAGAGGCAGAGAGCUCCAAGGGUACAAGCAGAAAGGUUUCUGUGCCCAGACGAAGGAUAACUGUAAAAAGGCCAUGGAGCACAAAAGAAGUCAGUGCUGUUAUGAAGCAUUUCAAAAGUGACAUUUCCAAGGGAAUUCUCACAACAAAGACAGAAUGUAAGCAGUGUAAAGUUGCAGAGGAUCCUGUUCUAAGAGAAAGAACAAUUCAAAAUAUUAGAGAUUUUGUGAGAAACAGAGGUUUGAUGUUGAAAAAAAAAGUUGAAGGGGAGAUUAGUAUGCAUUGUGCAGUAGAGUUUGUUCUGUUCAAGACUGACUAGGGUUGACCCCUGAUAUUAUAUCCAAUUUUAAUGUUCAUUCACUUUGGAGGGAUGCAUUAGACAUCCAGUUAUUUUUCUUUUUUGUUGCCUUAAUUUAGAGCUAAUAGCUGUAGCUGCCCAAAAUGGUAUUCAUGGAGCCUAAGUGUGACCCAGUGGAUUAAAGGAACAGCUGAGUGGACAACAGUUUAUGGAAGCAAUAAAAUAUUGUAAUGAAUUAUU